ensembl:lncRNA
CCCCGGUUCACCCCAUUGAUGUCCCCUGCAGCCCCAGUCCUUGGCGCAGUUCGGGCGCCCCAAAAUCGAUGGGGAACUGAAGGUGUGCAGCAGCGAGCGGCGCUCCAAGGCGGACAGGUACGGAUUCCUCCUGGACAAGGCCCUGAUCAUCUGCAAGCGCCGUGGGGACGCUUACGAGGCCAAGGACGUCGUGGACCUACAAAGCCACCAGCUGAGGGACAGCAGCCUUGGGCCCAGGGACGGCAAGAAGGUACCACGAGAACCAGGUGGCCACAAGUGUCCAGGUCCUUGGUGGCCCCAGUGGAGUCUGGUGGCCCAAAGUGUCUAGGGCUGGUGGCUACAAGUGUCUGGGUCCAUGGUGGCCCCAAGUGUCCAGGUCUGGUGGUCCCAAAUGUCAGGGUCCUUGGUGAUCCCAAGUGUCCAGAUCUGGUGGCCACGAGUGUCCAGAUCCAGUGGCCCCAAGUGUCAGGGUCCUUGGUGGCCCCAGGUGUCCAGAUCUGGUGGUCCCAAGUACCCAGGUCCUUGGUGGCCUCAAAUGUCCAGAUCUGGUGGCCUCAAGCCCACAGGUCCUUGGUGGUCCCAUUGGAGCCUGGUGGCCCCAAGUAACCAGAUCCAGUGGCCCCAAGUGUCAAGGUCCUUGGGGGUCUUAAGAUCUUGGUGGCACCAUUGAAGUCUGGUGGUCCCAAGUGUCCAGAUCUGGUGGCCACGAGUGUCCAGAUCCAGUGGCCCCAAGUGUCAGGGUCCUUGGUGGCCCCAGGUGUCUAGACCUGGUGGUCCCAAGUGUCCAGGUCCUUGGUGGCCCCAUUGGAGUCUGGUGGCCCCAAGUGUCUGGGUCCUUGGUGGCCCCAGGUGUCCAGGUCUGGUGGUCCCAAGUACCCGGGUCCUUGGUGGCCUCAAAUGUCCAGAUCUGGUGGCCUCAAGCCCACAGGUCCUUGGUGGCCCCAUUGAAGUCUGGUGGUCCCAAGUGACCAGAUCCAGUGGCCCCAAGUGUCAAGGUCCUUGGUGGUCCCAAGUGUCCAGGUCUGGUGACUACAAGCAUCCAGAUCCAGUGGCCCCAAGUGUCAUGGUCCUUGGUGGCCCCAGGUAUCCAGGUCCUUGGUGGCCCUGAGUGUCCAGGUCUGGUGGCCCAAAGUGUCCAGAUUUAGUGGCCCCAAGCACCCAGGUCCUUGGUGGCCCCAAUGGAGACUGGUGGCCCCAAGUGUCAGGGUCCUUGGUGGCCCCAUGUGUCCAGAUCUCGUGGUCUCAAGCCCACAGGUCCUUGGUGGCCCUGUUGAAGUCUGGUGGCCUCAAGUGUCCAGGUCCUUGGUGGCCCCAAGUGUCCAGAUCUGGUGGCCCCAAGUGUCUGGGUUCUUGGUGGUCCCAGUCAUCCAGAUCUGGUGGUCUCAGGCCCACAGGUCCUUGGUGGCCCCAUUGGAGUCUGGUGGCCCCAAGUGUCCAGAUCCAAUGGCCUCAAGUGUCAGGGUCCCUGGAGACCCCAGGUAUCCAGGUCCUUGGUGGUCUUAAGGGUCCAGAUCUGGUGGCCCCAAGCACCCAGCUCUUGGUGGCCCCACUGAAACUCGGUGGCCACCCCACACGUCCGGUCACCGCUGACCCC